rnacentral:rRNA from 1 species
AGUGAACGCUGGCGGUAGGCCUAACACAUGCAAGUCGAACGGCAGCACAGUAAGAGCUUGCUCUUACGGGUGGCGAGUGGCGGACGGGUGAGGAAUACAUCGGAAUCUACUUUUUCGUGGGGGAUAACGUAGGGAAACUUACGCUAAUACCGCAUACGACCUACGGGUGAAAGCAGGGGAUCUUCGGACCUUGCGCGAUUGAAUGAGCCGAUGUCGGAUUAGCUAGUUGGCGGGGUAAAGGCCCACCAAGGCGACGAUCCGUAGCUGGUCUGAGAGGAUGAUCAGCCACACUGGAACUGAGACACGGUCCAGACUCCUACGGGGGGCAGCAGUGGGGAAUAUUGGACAAUGGGCGCAAGCCUGAUCCAGCCAUACCGCGUGGGUGAAGAAGGCCUUCGGGUUGUAAAGCCCUUUUGUUGGGAAAGAAAAGCAGCAGGUUAAUACCACGCUGUUCUGACGGUACCCAAAGAAUAAGCACCGGCUAACUUCGUG